rnacentral:lncRNA from 1 species
GCUUCAUGAGUUCUAGCCCCUAGAACUUGACUAGCCUCGUACCGGUCAAGUUUCUUCAAGAACUUGACCUCACCCUCUUAGAACCUCCUCUGGACUUCUGAUUCUCCUUUUAUAGGACCCUUACAAUCCUUGUUAGAACCAGAUAAGGCUUUAUCUUAAAUCCCAAAGCCUUGUCCUAAAACUAAGAUAGGUUGUAAGAAAGAA